rnacentral:rRNA from 1 species
UACAGAGGGUGCAAGCGUUGCUCGGAAUCAUUGGGCGUAAAGGGUAGGUAGGUGGUCUCAUUUGUCAGGGGUGAAAUCCUUGGGCUUAACUCAAGAAGUGCCCUUGAAACGGUGAGACUGGAGUCUUGGAGAGGUUCGCGGAAUUCCCGGUGUAGCGGUGAAAUGCGCAGAUAUCAGGAGGAACACCGGUGGCGAAGGCGGGUCUCUGGGCCGAUACUGACGCUGGAGGAGCGAAAGCGUGGGGAGCAAACAGG